GACAAACGCUGGCGGCAUGCCUAACACAUGCAAGUCGAACGGACAGAACAGAGAAGCUCUUCGGAGUGGAACUGGAAAGUUAGUGGCGGAUGGGUGAGUAACGCGUGGACAACCUACCUUGUAAAGGGGAAUAACCUCGAGAAAUCGAAGCUAAUACCCCAUAAUAACCUUGCUUCGCAUGAAGCAAGGAGGAAAGGCGGCCUUAGAGCUGUCGAUAGAAGAUGGGUCCGCGUCUGAUUAGCUAGUUGGUGAGGUAAAGGCUCACCAAGGCGACGAUCAGUAGCCGGCCUGAGAGGGUGAACGGCCACAUUGGGACUGAGACACGGCCCAAACUCCUACGGGAGGCAGCAGUGGGGAAUCUUCCGCAUGGGCGAAAGCCUGACGGAGCAAUGCCGCGUGAGUGAAGAAGGCCUUCGGGUUGUAAAACUCUGUCCUAGACGAAGAGAGAGUGUUG
rnacentral:rRNA from 1 species